ACCAGUUGCUUUGAAAACAUGGUGAUAUGGUUUGGCUCUGUGUCUCCACCCAAAUCUCAUGUUGAAUCCCUAGUGUUGGUGGAGUGACCUGGUGGGAGGUGACUGCAUCAAGGGGGGUGGACUUCCCCCUUGCUGUUUUUAUGAUGGGGAGCAAGUUCUCACAAGAUGUGGUUGUUUAAAAGCGUGUAGCAUUUCCCCCUUCGCUCUCUCUCUCCUCCUCUGCCGAUACGUUGAGAUUCUGUGGCCUCAGGGCCUUUCUCUGGAUUCGUCUGUCUUUCUGGAAGGCUCUCUUUGUUGCUCUUUUCUGGUUUCAUUGCAUGGGCCAUUUCCCCCAAAGGGCCUCCCUGCCUUCCUCAGCCCAAACUCAGUACCCUAUGUGAUCCCCUCUACCAGCUCCCUGUUCCUUUUCUCCCUAGCGUGUAUCAUCAUUCGUAAUGAUAUAUUUAUUUGUCUAUGUAUUCGUUCAAUGCUUCCAUUCCUCCCCAGAUUGUAAACCUCUUUGAGGAUGACAAUAUCUGUCUUGUUCACUACUAUAUUCCCAGAGCCCGCCUCACAGAGGUGCCUGGUUUGGGGCUGUCACUUUGUCCAGUUCCAGGGCUCAUUCACAUAGCAUUCUUCAUGAGUGGCGCCCCCUAGAGUUGUGUGAUAUGACAGCUCUGCUGCCAUGGUCAGAAACCAAUCUGGCUUGCUGUCAUGUCAGUGCCUCCCCACGCAUGUGGAUUUUUUCCCUCCCAAAAGGCUCAGGAACCACAGAACGUAACCCUGAUGAACCUGACUCCAAUUAGGAGCUUGCACUUGGCUGGUGAGAAUCCCCAGACAGCCCCGAGGGUGACUCCUCCCGCUCCUUGCAGAAUCUGUAGCCUGGUGUUCAUUGUGCUGGCUCAAGGGUCAGAUCAGAGUGAGGAGUGCUUGGUAAUUGCACUGAGCCAAAGACACUCACUUCGCAAUUAUUGGGCAUUUGAAGUUAGUUAUUUGAUGUGGGAAAAACCUCCACGCUGCCGAACUGCCUCUGAGCUGAAGCGAGAACAUCUGUGAGAGCACAGGCUCAGAGCUCACAAAACAGACUGUCCCUUUUGCUAUUAGCAAUUUUCCCUGGCCUGGGCACAGCUGGCUCUUGCUCCUUUUCAUCUUUCCUCUUGUAUUAAAAAAAAAUUCUGGUAAAGCCAUUACAUUUAAUUUUUAUGAUCUUGUUUAAAAGAUUAGCUGUAUUGCAUCAAAGUCAUACAAGUAUAUAGUUUAAAAGUCAGAUUAUAACAUAUUUAUAAUAAAAUAUUAGUUUCUGUUCCUCUGUUUCUGGUCCAUCCCUAGAGACAACUACUGCCAACUGCCUUAGCUGUUUCUUUUCUAUCUUCUUUUUAAUUUUUUUGGAGACAGGGUUUCACUCUGUCACCCAGGCUCUAGUGCAGUGGUGUGAUCAUGGCUCACUGCAGCCUUGACCUCUUGGGCUCAAGCCAUCCUCCUGCCUCAGCCUCCUGAGUAGCUGGGACCACAGGUGUGCACCACCAUAGCUGGCCAAGUUGUUUCUUAUGUCAUUCCCCCAUCUUCAUAUUUCUAAUCUCGAUUUUGACAUAUUUCCAGUUAUUUCAUUCACUCUCUCACUGACUCAUUAAUUAGCUGAUUAAGUAAACACAU
rnacentral:lncRNA from 10 species